rnacentral:rRNA from 1 species
UACGUAGGGUGCAAGCGUUAAUCGGAAUUACUGGGCGUAAAGCGUGCGCAGGCGGUUGUGUAAGACAGAUGUGAAGUCCCCGGGCUCAACCUGGGAACUGCAUUUGUGACUGCACGGCUGGAGUGCGGCAGAGGGGGAUGGAAUUCCGCGUGUAGCAGUGAAAUGCGUAGAUAUGCGGAGGAACACCGAUGGCGAAGGCAAUCCCCUGGGCCUGCACUGACGCUCAUGCACGAAAGCGUGGGGAGCAAACAGG